rnacentral:rRNA from 1 species
GUUGUUGCUGGCCCUCGAGAGGGGGCACGUGCACACUCUGUUUACGCAUCCACUCACACCUGUGCACCCUCUGUAGUUCUAUGGCUUCGGGGACUCUGUCUCCUUGCUGUGGUCCUACGUCUUUACACACACACACCAUAAUAAAGUCUCAUGGAAUGCAUGUCGCGUUUAACGCAAUACAAUACAACUUUCAGCAACGGAUCUCUUGGCUCUCGCAUCGAUGAAGAACGCAGCGAAAUGCGAUAAGUAAUGUGAAUUGCAGAAUUCAGUGAAUCAUCGAAUCUUUGAACGCACCUUGCGCCCUUUGGCUAUUCUGAAGGGCAUGCCUGUUUGAGUAUCAUGAACACCUCAACUCUCAUGGUCUGCCCAUGAUGAGCUUGGACUUUGGGGGUCUUGCUGGCCUGGCGUCAGCUCCUCUCAAAUCGAUCAGCUUGCCAGUGUUUGGUGGCGUCACGGGUGUGAUAACUAUCUACGCUUGUGGUUUUCUGCCAUGUAACCUUCAGCGAUGGAGG